GACGAACGCUGGCGGCGUGCCUAAUACAUGCAAGUAGAACGCACAGUUUAUACCGUAGCUUGCUACACCAUAAACUGUGAGUUGCGAACGGGUGAGUAACGCGUAGGUAACCUGCCUGGUAGCGGGGGAUAACUAUUGGAAACGAUAGCUAAUACCGCAUAAUAUUGAUUAUUGCAUGAUAAUUGAUUGAAAGAUGCUAUUGCAUCACUACCAGAUGGACCUGCGUUGUAUUAGCUAGUAGGUGAGGUAACGGCUCACCUAGGCGACGAUACAUAGCCGACCUGAGAGGGUGAUCGGCCACACUGGGACUGAGACACGGCCCAGACUCCUACGGGAGGCAGCAGUAGGGAAUCUUCGGCAAUGGACGAAAGUCUGACCGAGCAACGCGGCGUGAGUGAAGAAGGUUUUCGGAUCGUAAAGCUCUGUUGUAAGAGAAGAACGGGUGUGAGAGUGGAAAGUUCACACUGCGACGGUAUCUUACCAGAAAGGGACGGCUAACUACGUG
rnacentral:rRNA from 1 species